AGUGAACGCUGGCGGUAGGCCUAACACAUGCAAGUCGAACGGCAGCACAGUAAGAGCUUGCUCUUACGGGUGGCGAGUGGCGGACGGGUGAGGAAUACAUCGGAAUCUACUUUUUCGUGGGGGAUAACGUAGGGAAACUUACGCUAAUACCGCAUACGACCUACGGGUGAAAGCAGGGGAUCUUCGGACCUUGCGCGAUUGAAUGAGCCGAUGUCGGAUUAGCUAGUUGGCGGGGUAAAGGCCCACCAAGGCGACGAUCCGUAGCUGGUCUGAGAGGAUGAUCAGCCACGCUGGAACUGAGACACGGGCCAGACUACUACGGGAGGCAGCAGUGGGGAAUAUUGGAGAAUGGGCGCAAGCCUGAGCCAGCCAUACCGCGUGGGUGAAGAAGGCCUUCGGGUUGUAAAACACUUUUGUUGGGAAAGAAAAGCAGCAGGUUAAUACCCCGCUGUUCUGACGGUACCCAAAGAAUAGGCACCGGCUAACUUCGUG
rnacentral:rRNA from 1 species